rnacentral:rRNA from 1 species
AUUGAACGCUGGCGGCAGGCUUAACACAUGCAAGUCGAACGAGUUGCGGACGGGUGAGUAAUGCUUUGGAAUCUAGCUUAUGGAGGGGGAUAACUACGGUAAACUGUAGCUACUACCGCGUACCAUAGGCUGAGCCCAAGGGGGAUUAGGUAGUUGGUGGGGUAAAGGCUCACCAAGCCGACGAUCUCUAGCUGGUCUGAGAGGAUGACCAGCAAAACUGGGACGGAGACAAGGCCCAGACGCCGACGGGAGGAAGCAGUGGGGAAUAUUGCGCAAUGGGGGAAACUUGACGCAGCCAUGCCGCGUGAAUGAAGAAGGCCGUCGGGUUGUAAAGUUCUUUCGGUAGCGAGGCGUUAACUACAGAAGAAGCACCGGCUAACUCCGUGCCAGAAGCCGCGGUAAUUC